AUGGAGCUUUGCAGCUGUCAGCGGUGCUCUCUGAGCUCACUACACAAAGCAAGGCCCUUCUUUGCUCAUGGAAGUCUGUCCUCCCUUUUGCCCCAUCCCUGUAGAGAGCAGUGCAAGGAGGCCCCGCCGGCCCCGCUGCAGCCGAGGUGCCCGGGUCUGCAUUCCACCAUCCCCACGUGCCAGGAGAGCUCCCCGCUGCAGGCAGCCACAGGUGACCUGAAAUCACUCUCACACAGAGUGAAGUUCAGCCACCUGCUGCCGGAUGUGCACUCAGGUCCACCCUCCUCCACCAACACGUUCACGGAGGACUCGUGGGUGAUGGAUAUAGACAGCAGCCUGACUUUAUCUGCCCUCAGCCUACCUGGGAGCAAGGUAUCGUCGUCGCCAUCCAGUGACUUCACCCUACACCCCACCUUGGCUGCCGGCACAGAGGACCACCUGCCGCUGAAGGUCUCAAAGGACCAACAGGAAAUGAGUUUGCCUGUGGAAGGAGACAGUGCUGAGGGCAAAGGCCCAGCUUCAGGAGCCGAGGAGCCCACACUGGCCAAAUGGGCUGUCCACACACCAAUGGCCUUAGAGAUCCGGGCUCAGGAGGCAGCCCUGGAGAAACUCAGGCUCCCGCACACACUGCUCUCCGGCAGCCCGAAUGUGCCGCACAUGGAUGUCCCCUUGGAGAGGCAGCAGGUCUACAGCAUGGAGCCUGCCACUGUCACCACCACCAGGAAGCCUGCAGAUGGGCAGGUGUGCAAUGGAGAGGACAUCCAGCUUCCAGGACAGAUAAAAGAGGUGACUUGGGACCAGGCAUCGCCAUCCAGCUAG
rnacentral:lncRNA from 1 species